UAACACAUGCAAGUCGAACGAACCUUCGGGUUAGUGGCGGACGGGUGAGUAACGCGUGAGAAUCUGCCCUCAGGAGGGGGAUAACGGUUGGAAACGACCGCUAAUACCCCAUAUGCCUACUGGUGAAAUGAAUUUCGCCUGAGGAUGAGCUCGCGUCUGAUUAGCUAGUUGGUGAGGUAAUGGCUCACCAAGGCUUCGAUCAGUAGCUGGUCUGAGAGGAUGAUCAGCCACACUGGGACUGAGACACGGCCCAGACUCCUACGGGAGGCAGCAGUGGGGAAUUUUCCGCAAUGGGCGAAAGCCUGACGGAGCAACGCCGCGUGAGGGACGAAGGCCUCUGGGCUGUAAACCUCUUUUCUCAAGGAAGAAGAUAUGACGGUACUGAGGAAUAGGCCACGGCUAAU
rnacentral:rRNA from 1 species